rnacentral:rRNA from 1 species
GAUGAACGCUGGCGGCGUGCCUAAUACAUGCAAGUCGAGCGAAUGGAUUAAGAGCUUGCUCUUAUGAAGUUAGCGGCGGACGGGUGAGUAACACGUGGGUAACCUGCCCAUAAGACUGGGAUAACUCCGGGAAACCGGGGCUAAUACCGGAUAACAUUUUGAACCGCAUGGUUCGAAAUUGAAAGGCGGCUUCGGCUGUCACUUAUGGGUGGACCCGCGUCGCAUUAGCUAGUUGGUGAGGUAACGGCUCACCAAGGCAACGAUGCGUAGCCGACCUGAGAGGGUGAUCGGCCACACUGGGACUGAGACACGGCCCAGACUCCUACGGGAGGCAGCAGUAGGGAAUCUGCCGCAAUGGGCGAAAGUCUGACGGAGCAGCGCCGCGUGAGUGAUGAAGGCUUUCGGGUCGUAAAACUCUGUUGUUAGGGAAGAACAAGUGCUAGUUGAAUAAGCUGACACCUUGACGGUACCUAACCAGAAAGCCACGGCUAACUACGUGCCAGCAGCCGCCGUAA